rnacentral:rRNA from 1 species
ACUCCUACGGGAGGCAGCAGUGGGGAAUAUUGCACAAUGGGCGCAAGCCUGAUGCAGCCAUGCCGCGUGUAUGAAGAAGGCCUUCGGGUUGUAAAGCACUUUCAGCGAGGAGGAAGGGGUGUUGUAGUUAAUAGCACAGCUAUUUGACGUUACUCGCAGAAGAAGCACCGGCUAACUCCGUGCCAGCAGCCGCGGUAAUACGGAGGGUGCAAGCGUUAAUCGGAAUUACUGGGCGUAAAGCGCACGUAGGCGG